rnacentral:rRNA from 1 species
GAUGAACGCUGGCGGCGUGCCUAAUACAUGCAAGUCGAGCGAACGGACGAGAAGCUUGCUUCUCUGAUGUUAGCGGCGGACGGGUGAGUAACGCGUGGAUAACCUACCUAUAAGACUGGGAUAACUUCGGGAAACCGGAGCUAAUACCGGAUAAUAUUUUGAACCGCAUGGUUCAAAAGUGAAAGACGGUCUUGCUGUCACUUAUAGAUGGAUCCGCGCUGCAUUAGCUAGUUGGUAAGGUAACGGCUUACCAAGGCAACGAUGCAUAGCCGACCUGAGAGGGUGAUCGGCCACACUGGAACUGAGACACGGUCCAGACUCCUACGGGAGGCAGCAGUAGGGAAUCUUCCGCAAUGGGCGAAAGCCUGACGGAACAACGCCGCGUGAGUGAUGAAGGUCUUCGGAUCGUAAAACUCUGUUAUUAGGGAAGAACAUAUGUGUAAGUAACUGUGCACAUCUUGACGGUACCUAAUCAGAAAGCCACGGCUAACUACGUG